GUGCUGCUGCUGGCCCACGGGCCACACUCAGGGGCACUGAACUAAAGCCACUGUGGGCACAAGCAGGUACAGGUGGCGGGCACUCACCCUGGGUGGAGAAUCACAGCUCCUAGUAAGUAAGCCCUCCUGGGGGUCAGACACCGCAUCCUGGCUGCCCAAGGCGUGCUCUGUGAGCCACACCACCAGGCACAGACCUGCGGCCCCAUCCAGCCUCCACGGGGAUCCGUGUGCCUAUCACAGUCCUUCACAAGCCUCGUCCCUUGUCAUCCUCCUGAUACCCGCCCCCCCAGAAGUAGGUCAUGGAUCCCUUUGGUUUUACAGGGGAAACACAGCUGAGCGGCUAAGUGACUUGGUUAAGGUCUCAAGUACAACCAGCGGGAGAUGCUACUGGAAGCAGGUGGCCCAGCCUCGGACCCCGAGCUCCCAACCCCGCAGCCCAACACUCCCUGUGGCUUCUUCGUGGAAUCCCCACAGCUACUCUGCCAGCCAGACUCGGUCCUGUGUGCCUUUUGAAAGGAAGGAGAGAAUAGCUGUGCUCAGCCCAACGAGGCCGGCCUCUUUCAACCUGCCAGUCGCUGCCAUUUCCAAUUACAACUUCAGAGGCCCCUGUAAUUUAUACAUCCCAGGAUGCACCGCUCCAGCUGCUUUAUGACGGGAGUUCGUUACACUAUUAAGGAACCUGCGCUUCCCAUGGCCCGGAGGGUCCCCAAACCUGACACGAGGUGGGAGAGCAAGAAGGAACACCCCAAGAGCUGGGGCCAGACGGAGAAGGGUCUGCAGUCUGCCAGCUGCAAACUUACAGCCCUUCAGCAGAACCCCCCCCCCCCCGCCAUUCUGGACCUCUCCCUCUGCUGUAAAAGAUGGGUGCUUCCCUCCUCGGGGGGUGGGGGUGGGCACUGCCCGAAGCGCAGAGCCGAGCACCGGGUGAGUGGCUGCCAUUCUCGUUCUUGGCGUGAUGUCAAUUACUGCACAGAAAGCAGAGAGCACUGGCCUGGCCAGGAGGGCUUUGCCCGUGUCACUGUUGUCACAUCUGGAAGAUGCGUGUUACAGGUCAGUCCCCAACCUGGGAAACUCCCAGAGGCCCGGUGGGGGCUCUUCUCUGCCUGUCCUCAGCUCCACGUGCAAGCCCAGCACACCGCACGUGUGUGGCAGACGUCCCUGAAAGAACCAUGUGGACCAAGGGGGCACGGCUCUUCACCGCCUGGCCCCCGUCCCGGAGAAGGAGGUGGAGGGACACCAAGUUCUUUUCCAAAGUAUGAAAUUGAUGCAACCUCCUGAGACGAAUUCCUGGACUUCCCAGGAGGAAAGAGACUCUGGCUGCGGCUCCAAGACCCCAGGCUGGACUCUGGCCUUCUCCUUCUGUGUGUCCUUGGCAUCGGGGAGGAAUGGUUGCGACUGGAACCUGAAGCCUCAGCUGGGGCUCUGGGGCAACUCCCCCCCCAGGGUGGGUUCCCCGUGGCCGCCAACCCCCUCCCCUCGGCAGCAGGGGCCUCCUCCUGCAGUCACUGGAGCGGCAGGCUCCCGGGACCGGAGGGGGACGCAACAGGACUCUGGAUUUGUCAAGGUUGCCGGUUUUCUUGGGAGGGGCCAAGUGGUGGCCCCCAGCCUCCGGGUGCACCAAGCGGAGUGGNNNNNNNNNNNNNNNNNNNNNNNNNNNNNNNNNNNNNNNNNNNNNNNNNNNNNNNNNNNNNNNNNNNNNNNNNNNNNNNNNNNNNNNNNNNNNNNNNNNNGGGGGGGGGGGGGGGGGGGGGGGGGGGGCUGGCCUGCAUCACAGGAAAGGACCUAGGGUCUCCUGAAGAGACACAGCCUCAGGAAAGGGAGGGUGUCCCGUCAGCUUAGCUCCCCUCUGGGCUGACCGAGAAGGGCUGAAGCAAUCGUGAUUGAGAAGGGCUGAAGCAAUCAUGAUUGAGAAGGGCUGAAGCAAUCAUGAUUGACCACAGCAGUAACAUUUAUGGAGCACCUACGAUGUUCUUGGCACCAGGUAGAAGUUCCAAGGUGGCAUCUCACUGGAUCCUGACAGUGGCCAUAUUCCAUGAGUGCCCCAUUUUCGAGAUGAAGAAACUAAGGGUCAGUGGUUAAGUGACCUGCCCAAGUAGUAACGAACUCAAAUAAAGCUCCACGUUUAUGCUACCGUCCAUGCUUGCAGGCCUAUCCUGGGCUAAUUUUAUUAUUUGUAUUUUUUAAUUUUUUUAAUGUUUAUUUUUGAUUGAGAGGGAGAGAGAACAUGAGCAGGGGAGGGGCAGAGAGAGGGAGACACAGAAUCCAAAGCAGGCUCUAGGCUCUGAGCUGCCAGCACGCAGCCCCAUUUGGGGCUCGAAUUCACAAGCUGUGAGAUCAUGACCUGAGCCGAAGUCGGACGCUUAAGCGACCAAGCCACCCAGGCGCCCCUCUGUGCUAUGCUGAUGUUAAAGAAAGAGGGAGAGAAUGAGUCAGGAGUGCAUAACCAAAAGGUGGCAUGGUCUUGGAGACUCUCCGUCCUGGGAGGCGACGCGGGCAGGACUGAUGGGGAGGCAGCGCCUGUGGGGUGACAGGCGCCUGCGGCUGAGCUGGAAAGGGCCAGGACAGUGCCCUCAGCUGAUGGGCCUAGGCCUGCCCUGAAACUGCAGCGGGACAGCUGUCCCAGGACAGUGCAGGGGCCAGCCUGAGGUGGGAGUUGGCUGGAGGGUGUGCCAGGGGAGCCUGAUGUAAUCCCGGCCGCAGGAGGCGGAAGCUGGGGAAGUGAAACGUCACCUAACAGCAGCCUGGCCACAGACUUCCAACGGCAGUGCCGGGCUUGCCUCACCCCUGCCCACUGAGAUCUCUGCCCUCUUCUUCUGGCCCUGGGGCGCGGCAGGGGGGAGCCCUGGCAGCUCCCGUCGUGUUCCCCAGGUCCAGCCUGGUGCUGAAACGUGCUCAGAGCUGACGAGAAAGCAGAGGACUCCUAGCCAACGCCCUGGGAGCCCUGCCACAGAGAGGCGGACAAUCCCACUGUUUUCCGGAACAGACUCAAGGCUCACCUCGUCACCGGGCUUUCCGCAUUAUUUUGAGGGGUGAGGGGGGGUCCAAGUGGCCGUCCGGCAAACCAUCCUCCUUCCUCACUGAACCUAGCCUGAACUGACCUGGUCAGGCUGCCCAGAUGACAGAGGUAGUGGGACCCAGAACCCCCAGGACGGCCCCUUGCACUUCCAUACAACCCGAGGGCCCGGUGCGUGAGGGACCACCUCUAAGGACCCGGGACUACUCAGCUAACGGGGACAUGGGGCCAGGGCCUGGCACCCACUCUACGGACCUCCUGCCCAGCUCUUGGCCACACAGGGUCCCUGAGCAAGUUCUUGCCAGCCAGCAAGCCAUGGAGACCACUGGCCCAUGCAGGGAGGCUCAGAAAAUGGGCACAGACCCCCUGGCCUGGGUCUCUGUGCCCAGCCAAAAGCUUUCCUGGCCUUUAUGCCAGGUCUUGGAUCUAGACACAAGCAAUCUCAUACAUCGGAGUACUGCGUCCUUCCUAUCCCUCAGCGCCUCAGAGCACGGCACAGCCAGUAAAGGAGAGAGAGAAAUACCACCGCCGCUUUGAGGCUCAGAGGGGCUGAGUGACUCAUUUGAAGCUUCCCAGCUGAACCAGGGGCAGGAUCCAGGCC
ensembl:lncRNA